CCUACGGGUGGCAGCAGUGAGGAAUAUUGGUCAAUGGACGCAAGUCUGAACCAGCCAAGCAGCGUGAAGGAUGACUGCCCUAUGGGUUGUAAACUGCUUUUAUACGAGGAUAAAGUGAGAUACGCGUACCUGUCUGAAAGUACCGUAUGAAUAAGGAUCGGCUAACUCCGUGCCAGCAGCCGCGGUAAUACGGAGGAUCCAAGCGUUAUCCGGAUUUAUUGGGUUUAAAGGGUGCGUAGGCGGUUGGAUAAGUUAGAUGUGAAAGCUCGAGGCUCAACUUCGGAAUUGCCUCUGAUACGGGGCGGCGAGAGAAUAGUUGAGGUAGGCGGAAUGUAUGGUGUAGCGGUGAAAUGCUGAGAGAUCAUACAGAACACCGAUUGCGAAGGCAGCAUACCGGCGCCCUACUGACGCUGAGGCACGAAAGCGUGGGUAUCGAACAGGAUUAGAUACCCGAGUAGUC
rnacentral:rRNA from 1 species